AUGAACGCUGGCGGCGUGCCUAAUACAUGCAAGUCGAGCGAACAGACGAGGAGCUUGCUCCUCUGACGUUAGCGGCGGACGGGUGAGUAACACGUGGAUAACCUACCUAUAAGACUGGGAUAACUUCGGGAAACCGGAGCUAAUACCGGAUAAUAUAUUGAACCGCAUGGUUCAAUAGUGAAAGACGGUUUUGCUGUCACUUAUAGAUGGAUCCGCGCCGCAUUAGCUAGUUGGUAAGGUAACGGCUUACCAAGGCAACGAUGCGUAGCCGAUCUGAGAGGGUGAUCGGCCACACUGGAACUGAGACACGGUCCAGACUCCUACGGGAGGCAGCAGUAGGGAAUCUUCCGCAAUGGGCGAAAGCCUGACGGAGCAACGCCGCGUGAGUGAUGAAGGUCUUCGGAUCGUAAAACUCUGUUAUCAGGGAAGAACAAAUGUGUAAGUAACUAUGCACGUCUUGACGGUACCUAAUCAGAAAGCCACGGCUAACUACGUG
rnacentral:rRNA from 1 species